rnacentral:lncRNA from 1 species
GUCAGUCUACAUAUUGAGUUCAAUCAUAAUCUUAGAUUAAUGAAUUAGUUUCCCAUUAAGUCACACAUUAUCAUCAAAUAAAAUUUAAACAUUAAAAAUAAAACCAAGAGAAUAAGAGAAUAAAAAAAUAAAAAAAACUCAAAAAUUGUAUUCUUGAUCUCCAAAACUCCUUGAAUCCUUCAAAUUCUUCUUAGCUUCAAUGACUCUGUGACUUAACUUUCAGCUCUCAAUCUGGUAUUUCG